rnacentral:lncRNA from 10 species
AGACGCGGCCGAGGUAGGACUGGGUCGGCGGCUUCCUUCCGGCUCUGCGCUCCUGGCUGGGGCUGCUGGGCGGCUGGGGCCGGGUCCCCGCACCCGGCUCUCAAGUCCGGGAUUACCCGCAGGGCCUGAGAAGCGCUUUGCCCCCUACAGCCUCUCGAGCCAGCCCUUGGCUCGGAAUUGGAGAAUGGUCCUCAUUCUUACCCAGAUCUCACACGCCGUCCCCGCUCCCGAUCCCAGGGGGUGACAGGCGCGCACGCCUUUCAAACACGUGUUAAAAUCCAAGACGUCGUCUCAAAUGCCAGAGAUUUGCGGGAAUGCUCCUGGAAGGCCUCAAAAUCGCCGCAAGAACAGUCCACUUUGGAAAGUGAAGAAUGGAAUCCUUGGGAAGGAGAUGAAAAAAAUGAGCAACAACACAGAUUUAAAACUAGCCUUCAAAUAUUAGAUAAAUCCACGAAAGGAAAAACAGAUCUCAGUGUACAAAUCUGGGGCAAAGCUGCCAUUGUCCAAGCUGGCAGCGUUUCUGCUCAUAAAACAUUCUGAAGAACCUUGUGGGCCCUCUGUGUAUGUCACAGGAUUCACUCCAUUAGAUGGGAAGCUCCUCUGCAGAUCUUUUCUGAGUAAUCCCAUCUCCAUUUCUGGCUUCUGCUGAGAUGGCUGAGGAGACCUGCUUGUAUCUCUGGGAGCAUAUUUUUGAAGGCUUACUUGAUCCCAGCGAUGUGACUGCUCAAUGGAGAGAAGGAAAGUCAAUCGUAGGAAGAACACAGUACAGCUUCAUCACUGGUCCAGCUGUAAUACCAGGGUACUUCUCCGUUGAUGUGAAUAAUGUGGUACUCAUUUUAAAUGGAAGAGAAAAAGCAAAGAUCUUUUAUGCCACCCAGUGGU